rnacentral:lncRNA from 1 species
AUGGGCAAAACGGUCCUCCAUCAAAUUUGAAAACGGUAGAGGACUACCACCAAUUUCGUAAUUGUCCUCCACCGCCUCAUUGCGACAAAAAAACCCUAAAACAAUUAAUUAGGCCAUUUUGAUGACUUUCUUCACAUAACUUCGAUCAAGAACGAAUAUUUUGAAGGUGUUUCUAUAUUGUGGAGCAUAAGGCAAAUUUUAAAGGAGUUGAUGGUCGAUGGAGGUUUAGUGUUGAGAAUUGCCUACAACCCUUAUCCUACCCCUAAAUAGGCCGUAUAUGAUGGUACACAACGUCUAACGGUUAAAGGAAGAUUGAAAAUUCAAACGAACACGGUUCCAACGGAUAACUCGGAUAUAAACACACCACCUGAAUGAAUCCGAUAAACAAACCAAACCCGUAAUAGGAUACAGUCACACCACCUAUCACGAAUAAGGGUCCAAAGAUCACAUCUCAAGAUGCUAAACUUGAGAUAGCAAUGGAAGAAUUUUAGCUCUCUAGGGUUCGUUCCUAUCAUUCCUGUCAACGUCGGAAAAGUUUGCCCUCAAACUUGGGAUAGGCUCGCCAGGAUCAUAGUAGGGCUGCAGGUCAGCAACAUUAAAAGUCGCAGACACGCCAUAAGCAUCGGGAAGCUUGAUCUUUAGGAAAACGAUCUUUGCUGAGAUGAAUCCACAUGAGAUCACCCCGUUGGAAUGCAAUAGUCUCCGCUAUUUAUCGCGACGUUCUUUUUCCUGCAUAUUAACUUGGUGACCCGAUCACGGACUUGCACAUGAAUGGCUUGAAUAUCCCGAGCCCGAGCCUCGACAUCAUGGCUGAGCUGGACAGAGGUAUCCAAGGCGACUAAAUCAAUUGGAGUGAUAGGAUUGACACCAUAAACAAUCUCAAACGGGCUACGACCAGUGGCCUUGUGUGGGACCUGGUUGUAAGCGAAUGAUGCGUGGGGUAGAGCAACAUCCCACUAAGUAAUCCAGUUAUAAAGUCGAUGCUGAGAUCUUCCCAAGGGGCAUGUGGCACAGGUAAAGGCAGGUACAAUCCCUGAUUUUGUGAACGACCUUUGGCAAUAUAACACGCUAGACAGCGCUAAAUGUAGUGAUCAACACCACGAAUAAACCGAUGCCAAUAAAAGGAGUGUUUGACCAGAAGACUUGUUUUAUCAGCUCCAAAGUGACCAGAGAGGUUUCCCUCAUGUAGUUCUUGGAUCAAAGUUAGACGAAGGCUGGUUCGUGGAAUACACAACCGUGUGCCUUUGAAAAGAUAACCGUUAGAAGGGUGAAAAUCCUUGACUGGAUGGUGAGAGCACUGAAGGAAGAGUUCACCGGAGUCCUCAUUGGUAAUAUACACUUGUUUGAUUGAUUCCAUUUCGACAAUCUUUG